AUUGUUUGUAACUCAUUCCUCCUACAAUUCCAUGAAACUGUAAACAAUGGGUUUCCCCUAGUUUCGGUUUAAUUUAUAUUACUUCCAGAAUCCCAUAAUUUUAUUGAAGAACUAAACCAAUUUGCUGCCUCUAACUCUUCUUCUUUUCAUCGAAAAUUAAGAGCCUAUCAAUCAUGACAAUUCAACAUCUUCAUUUCCUACAAGGGGGGUUAACUUGUCUUUGGACGUAUAGGAUCUUUUAACUUGUUUCUUCGCCGAUUCCAGGGCCUUCAAUGCUGCUGUCAUCUCAGCCAUAUAGCUAGACAUCCAUAGAGAGCCCCAACUCGUCCCGCUCUUGUUUGCUGUAAAUUUGCAUUGAAACCAGCAUCCAGCUUCACUUUAAAGUAGGUAGUAGGCGGAGGUUGCCAUCUCACCAUCUGUGCUAGUGCUAAAAUGUAAUUCUGCAACAAUAUUUUUGCUUUUGACACAAUAGAAUUUUCAGUAAAAAAAAUUACAAUUUAUAAUAACCUCAUUUCUUACCUUCCAUGUACCACAUAGUUGUAACAAAAACUUCAAGCUCAAACCCGUUGAGUCGUCAGCCCGUUUCCUCGAAUGUCUUCUAACCUCAUUUCUUACAUUUCUUGUACCACAUAGUUAUGAAACAUACAAUAUACAACUACAAUUCAACCUUUUCUUUUAUGCUA
rnacentral:lncRNA from 1 species